UAGGGAAUAUUGCACAAUGGGCGCAAGCCUGAUGCAGCGACGCCGCGUGAGUGAUGAAGGCCUUCGGGUCGUAAAGCUCUGUUGUACGGGAAGAAAAAACUAUGGCUAAUAUCCAUAGUCUUGACGGUACCGUAUCAGAAAGGACCGGCUAACUUCGUGCCAGCAGCCGCGGUAAGACGAGGGGUCCUAGCGUUGUUCGGAAUCACUGGGCGUAAAGCGUAUGUAGGCGGGCUUUUAAGUCGGGUGUGAAAUCCCACGGCUCAACCGUGGAAUUGCAUUCGAAACUGGAAGUCUUGAGUGUGGGAGAGAUUGGUAGAAUACCUAGUGUAGUGGUGAAAUACGUAGAUAUUAGGUGGAAUACCGGUGGCGAAGGCGGCCAAUUGGCCCAACACUGACGCUGAGAUACGAAAGCGUGGGGAUCAAACAG
rnacentral:rRNA from 1 species